UACAUGUGGGGCAAGCGUUGUUCGGAAUUACUGGGCAUAAAGGGUGCGUAGGUGGCUUAGUAAGUCAGUGGUGAAAUCGUCCGGCCCAACCGGACACGUGCCAAUGAUACUGCUGAGCUCGAGUGCGUGAGGGGUAGGGGGAACGAGCAGUGUAGCGGUGAAAUGCGUAGAUAUCGGGAGGAACACCAGUGGCGAAGGCGGCUUUCUGGCCUGUUCUUGACGCUGAGGCGCGAAAGCCAGGGGAGCAAACGGG
rnacentral:rRNA from 1 species